GAAAUCGAGGACUUUCCUCUCCCACCUGGCGUC
rnacentral:sRNA from 1 species